GUCUACAGCCAUACUACCCUGAACGUGUCUGAUCUUGGAAGCUAAGCAGGGUUGGGCCUGGUUAGUCCUUGGAUGGGAGAAU
ensembl:rRNA 5S_rRNA 5S ribosomal RNA